AUUGAACGCUGGCGGCAUGCCUUACACAUGCAAGUCGAACGGCAGCACGGGAGCAAUCCUGGUGGCGAGUGGCGAACGGGUGAGUAAUAUAUCGGAACGUGCCCAGUCGUGGGGGAUAACGCAGCGAAAGCUGUGCUAAUACCGCAUACGAUCUAAGGAUGAAAGCGGGGGAUCGCAAGACCUCGCGCGAUUGGAGCGGCCGAUAUCAGAUUAGCUAGUUGGUGGGGUAAAGGCCCACCAAGGGGACGAUCUGGAGGCGGUUUGAGAGGACGACCAACCACACGGGAAAUGAUACACGGUCCAGACUCCUACGGGAGGCAGUAGUGGGGAAUUUUGGACAAUGGGCGCAAGCCUGAUCCAGCAAUGCCGCGUGCAGGAUGAAGGCCUUCGGGUUGUAAACUGCUUUUGUACGGAACGAAACGGCCCUUUCUAAUACAGGGGGCUAAUGACGGUACCGUAAGAAUAAGCACCGGCUAACUACGUGCCAGCAGCCGCCGUAA
rnacentral:rRNA from 1 species